UUGUGUCCUGCUGCCCUGUGCUGCCAGAGGAAAGUGACAUCAUUGUCUUCCUCCGAUUGCUUGGCAUCGAUUGGCCCACAGUGCCCAUCAGCUGGACCAAUGACGAGAGGGAGGAGAACAUUUUGGAGGCUUUACAGAAUUCCCCAUACAGAGAAAGAGAGGAGACAGAUGGAGGAAGAAGAGAGUAAAGGAAAGAAUACAGAUGGAGAUAAAGAGGAGAUGCUCAGGGUGAACUUGAAGAGGGUGUUUCAGGAGGAGCAGCUGCCAGGGUAUGACCCCAGCCUUGGCAGCUGUACAGUGCAAAGGGACAGUGUGUCCUAUCUGGCCCAACUGGACAGGGCUACUGCAGUCUGCACUGUCACCCUGGACGUGGAGAGGGAAGGCAGCCUGUCCACCAAGGGCCCCAGAGGCAGAGUCUUCGUCAUGGGGCGGCAGCGUAGCCUAGUGGUUAGAGCGUUGGACUAGUAACCGGAAGGUUGCGAGUUCAAACCCCCGAGCUGACGAGGGGGAGUGGCUGCUUCUGUUCGAUUACCUCAUUCCAUUCUCGGAGCUUCUCGACCAAACAGGACAGACGUUGGGGUGUGAUGGAGGGGCCAGAGUCAACCUGAAGACUGAAUGGAUCUGCAAGUUCCUGGUGUCCUCAGUAAGGAUUUGAGCUCUUAUUACAACAGAGUCCACGUCCUUUGGGAGCCGUUGCCUCACCUCUUCAAUCAGAUGUAUUAAUUGGCUGCAGUUGUUGAGCGC